UUAGAGUUUGAUCCUNNCUCAGGACGAACGCUGGCGGCGUGCCUAAUACAUGCAAGUCGAGCGAACCAAUAAGAAGCUUGCUUUUUGUUGGUUAGCGGCGGACGGGUGAGUAACACGUGGGUAACCUGCCUGUAAGACCGGGAUAACUCCGGGAAACCGGUGCUAAUACCGGAUAGAUUAUCUUUCCGCCUGGAGAGAUAAGGAAAGAUGGCUUUUGCCAUCACUUACAGAUGGGCCCGCGGCGCAUUAGCUAGUUGGUGAGGUAACGGCUCACCAAGGCGACGAUGCGUAGCCGACCUGAGAGGGUGAUCGGCCACACUGGGACUGAGACACGGCCCAGACUCCUACGGGAGGCAGCA
rnacentral:rRNA from 1 species